rnacentral:lncRNA from 12 species
AUCAGGAUGAUGCAGCCUGUGACACUGCACUGGGACUUUCCACUGAAGAGAGACUGAGAAGAGCCUGCAACUCAAGAAGCCUUCAAGAGAGAAGUAUCUUUUUCGGUUAUGUACACACCAUUUGUGAAAGGAGACACGGCUGACAAAAU